UACGUAGGUGGCGAGCGUUGUCCGGAUUUACUGGGCGUAAAGGGAGCGUAGGCGGACUUUUAAGUGAGAUGUGAAAUACCCGGGCUCAACUUGGGUGCUGCAUUUCAAACUGGAAGUCUAGAGUGCAGGAGAGGAGAAUGGAAUUCCUAGUGUAGCGGUGAAAUGCGUAGAGAUUAGGAAGAACACCAGUGGCGAAGGCGAUUCUCUGGACUGUAACUGACGCUGAGGCACGAAAGCGUGGGGAGCAAACAGGAUUAGAUACCCCGGUA
rnacentral:rRNA from 1 species